rnacentral:rRNA from 1 species
UACGUAGGUGGCAAGCGUUGUCCGGAAUUACUGGGCGUAAAGCGCACGUAGGCGGCUUGGUAUGUCGGGUGUGAAAUCCCCGGGCUCAACCUGGGAACUGCAUCCGAAACUGCCUUGCUCGAGUAUGGGAGAGGGAAGUGGAAUUUCCGGUGUAGCGGUGAAAUGCGUAGAUAUCGGAAGGAACAUCAGUGGCGAAGGCGACUUCCUGGACCAAUACUGACGCUCAGGUGCGAAAGCGUGGGGAGCAAACAGG